rnacentral:rRNA from 1 species
UACGUAGGGGGCAAGCGUUAAUCGGAAUUACUGGGCGUAAAGCGUGCGUAGUCGGCCAUUUAAGUCGGGUGUGAAAUCCCCGGGCUCAACCUGGGAAUUGCAUUCGAUACUGGAUGGCUAGAGUUCGGCAGAGGGAAGCGGAAUUUCCGGUGUAGCGGUGAAAUGCGUAGAUAUCGGAAGGAACAUCAGUGGCGAAAGCGGCUUCCUGGACCAGAACUGACGAUCAGGCACGAAAGCGUGGGGAGCAAACAGG